AUGUGUUACAACCAUCCCUAUACACUGGGAUGGUUGUAACAGUGGGUGAGACUGUAUUAAAAUCAAUUUUGCAACCUGUACAUAUUUUCAUAAAACCACUUAAAUACCAUGUUUCAGUAGAUGACAGAUUGAAGUUUAUAAUAUAACAAAUUGGUUAUUCCAGUGUAAAUGGUUUUUGAUUUAUUGCUAAAAAAUGCAAAAAGUGUUACAACUGUCCCUGGUCUCCCUACACAUGACAUGUCCGACGGUAAAACACUCCCCGUCGGGGAAAUGGGUAAAUAUGGGUAAAUAUUUACGCAACCCCGAGUUGCCCCACGAGGACUUGGCAGCAAAUGAAGUACAAAAAUAUAGUUUAAACAGCAAAUCGAAAAAAUGCAGAGGCCCGGCAGACUGGAGGGGGUCCACCACCUGCAGCCCUCACAGAGGCUGAGGAGAUGGCCCUCAGCCAACAGAGUAUGCGUCCUGUGGCUGAGGGCAUCCCUGGGGGGAGCUCCUCUGAUCCCCCCCACCCCCCAGGAUAGAAGUGCCUUUACAGUAUAAGAGUUACUGAUGGCGUCAUCGCCCUACUUGAACCAGAUGCCCUCACCAACCUCCAUGCAAUUGUAACAAUUCAAAAGAUGCAAAAGGAUGCUUUGGAGAUCCAAAUUUUGGAACAUAAGUUAUAGG